AGUGGCGGACGGGUGAGGAAUACGUAGGGAUCUGCCUUUAAGUGGGGGAUAACCCGGGGAAACCCGGAUUAAUACCGCAUGAUCUCGCAAGAGCAAAGAGGGGGACCGCAGGGCCUCUCGCUUUUAGAGGAACCUACGUCGGAUUAGCUAGUUGGUGAGGUAAUGGCUCACCAAGGCGACGAUCCGUAACUGGUCUGAGAGGAUGAUCAGUCACACCGGAACUGAGACACGGUCCGGACUCCUACGGGAGGCAGCAGUGGGGAAUAUUGGACAAUGGGCGAAAGCCUGAUCCAGCAAUACCGCGUGUGUGAAGAAGGCCUUCGGGUUGUAAAGCACUUUAAGUUGGGAAGAAAAAGCUUCACCUAAUACGUGGAGCCUUGACGGUACCGACAGAAUAAGCACCGGCUAACUCUGUGCCAGCAGCCGCGGUAAUACAGAGGGUGCUAGCGUUAAUCGGAUUUACUGGGCGUAAAGCGUGCGUAGGCGGUUUAAUAAGUCGAUUGUGAAAGCCCCGGGCUCAACCUGGGAAUUGCGGUCGAUACCGUCAGACUCGAAAACGGUAGAGGGAGGCGGAACUCCAGGUGUAGCGGUGAAAUGCGUGGAUAUCUGGAAGAACACCGAUGGCGAAGGCAACCUCCUGGGCCUGUUUUGACGCUGAGGCACGAAAGCGUGGGUAGCAAACAGGAUUAGAUACCCUGGU
rnacentral:rRNA from 1 species